UCUCCAGAACAUUUUUGUUUAUUCUGUAAUCCCACAUCAAGGCAACACAUGAUGUAGAAGUGAGCCCACUCAUUCAUGACAUGAUUCCAUGGUACAAUGACUUACACUGCUAAUUACUUCAUUUUACUGAACGAUAUACAUUUUUUUUUUUACUGAUGAUACUUUUGGUAAAGCUUUUCUUAGCAUUUAGUUAUAAUGUCAUUUGCUUUGAUAAAUAUUCGUGCAAAUAAAUUAUAAAUAUCCACAUUAUGAAAAAACUUCGUAAAGAUAUAAAUAAUACAAUGAAUGGCCUUUUUUUUCUUCCCCAAAAUAAUGGAGAAUGAGCUGUAAUAUAUGUGGAGAAAAAAAGACAGGAAGGCUAAUUAUCAUCAUAAGAUGCACAAAUACUUUCUUUUAAAAACCCUGAUUUCCUCUUCCUGCCUGCAAUGUUGACACCAUGGGUUGUUUUUUGACUUGAAAUGUUAAAAGCAAAUGGACAAUGAUCCAAACUACAAUGUGCUAUAAGAGCUUUUUCAGGCCUAGAUAAUGCCCAAGUGUGCACCCAAACAGCAGAUGUUUUUUGGAUUCAUCUCAGAACUUAGAAACAAUUUUCUUCUUCAAACUUUUGUAGGGUUACUCAUGCAUGAUACUGGAUAAUAGAUGAUAUACUUAUACACACACAAAUACCAAGAAGAAAAAAAAAAUAUAUCUUAAGAAAAUACUUUCAGUUUCUAUCUACCAGCCAGCGGAGACAAAAAGUUGUUUUAUUGUACAGUUGGAAUGAAUACAUUUAUUGCAGGACUUUGAAAUAAUGUAAGUCAUAUAAGAAUAGCUUUAUUUUAAUGUUCAAAUCUGUAGAGCUGCUAUAAAAAUGUGCUAGUUUAAAAAAAUAUCAAAGUUGAGGUAGUCAAGAACCAGUGGUUUUUAGUUGGCAACAAUUUUACUACCCAGACAACAAUGACAUACAGAGAUUCUAAAGAGAAACAGUUUAGUGCUGUAUGGCUAUAAAGUU